rnacentral:lncRNA from 1 species
AACUAUGACUAAUGUUCAACUCAUGAAGCUCACACAAACUCGAGAAAUAGCAGUUAAUACGAUCCAAUUAGUACAUAAAUAAGCAAGGUUCUGGAAGUAAACUAAAUCAAAUUUAUGCCUCCAUUCUUCACACAGAUUCAUUUCUUCACAUUUUCAGCUUACAAUCAUCAGAGAUACAAUUGUGUACCUGGAAUUGAAAUAGAUGAUAAAAUACAGGAGUUAGCUAAAGCAGUAAUGAAUAACAGCCCAAAAUCAUAGAAGUGGAUCAAUUUCAACUCCAAUCUACCACAACAAACCAAGAAUAAUUUGUAGAACAAUAAACAGCGACAAGCUACUGAAAAUAGAUCAAUCUAUGACCAAGCAGAGUCGAAUUCAACCCGGGACUGCUUCCUACCAGGAAAUACCCAAACAGAGCUCGACUAAUACCCGAAAACACUUGCAAUUGAAUCUCACAAGAUUAGAAACUAGAAUUAAUAGCUAACUUGCAACAAAUAUGAAGGAAUUAUUGAUGGAAUAGUUUUUUUUUAUUUUUUAUUUUCUGUUGCUUCAUUUUUUGAUUUUCUGGAAAGUUUUUUAUCUAACAGAGAUUUCAAAAUCUAGAUCUAGUUUUUGAAUAUGAAACAAUAGAAUAAUUUGGGGGGAAAUUUGGAGGAUCAAACUUAUUCACUAAGGCACUAGUCAUGCCUUUUUAUAGGCAAAAUGAGGGCAGCCCUCAGAUUUAAAGUUUUACACUCUUAAUCCAUCUUUACUAUUCAAUUUUACGCAAACAACCCCUUAUAUACUGACUUGUUUCUCAAGUUAAUAUCUUAUAUUUACUGAAAUCUAAACUAAAGCCCUAUUCUAGAAGGAUCUAGGGAAUUCUAGUUUGUGUUUCCAUUUAUGGAAUACCUAUACUACCCUUACUUUAUCCUAAAAUUUACUAGACUAAACUAACCCUUUUACCCUAGUUGAAGUUUAACUACAGUUAUUCAAAGAGCAUAAUGCAGCCAUGUCCAAUGAACUAACAAAGCUGGAAAACCAUUCUAAUUUCAUUAACGGAAAAAAAUUCAAAGAGCAAUCUAAUAUAAUUAACUAACUUAUAAAACUAAAACUUAUCAAAACAAAUUUCAAAUAUCACAAACUAGGAUGAAAAGAACAAUUAAACCAAAUAAGAACCAAUUGAAUCGUAAAGCAAAAAUUAAAACCAGCAGAAUCAACAUGAAAACAGAGAUCAGGUGAAAUUUAAACUAAUCAGAAAAAACCAUGAAGAACGUUUACUAUUUUUUAAUCAUUCUCAAAGUCUAAUUAAACCACAAUCCUAAGUUUAUAGUAAUAUAAUCCAACAUGAUAGACUCAAUAUUCAUGCCUGAACUACAAGCUUAUCACAAACAAAUUACAUUCAUUAAUUCGGACUAAAAUACCAAGGAGAAGAACGGAGAGUCGACAUACUGAAAAUAGAAAAAAUAGAGAAGCCAAUAAUGAACAAAGAGAAAGAAAACAUAAACAAAAGAAAAGAGAAGAACUCAAUCUAUGCCUGAUACGAGGAGGCUACUGCAUGGGUCGAUUCGGUCCCUAACAUCAAAAGAACCAAAUCCUAGAUCUGAAAUUGGCGAGCUUCACUUAAAUUUGAAGGUUCUUGGCUUAGAAUUUGGAAUGAGGAGGCCCAGGAGACUCUGGGGUACGAUUUUGAUCGGAUUUGGAAGAAGUAGGGUUUUGGCCGGAUUUUCAAAUGAAGAUCUGAAGAUAUUAGCGAUGAUUCGAGGUAAAUGGGUUGAAUAUUUGGGAUGAGGAGGUUGAGGAGAUCAUAGGGUGUAAAUUUGGGACUGAUUUGUGGUGGUGCCGCCACCGGAGACGGUGAGGGUUUGGGGGCGGCUUAGCUAGGGUUAUUGUGUAUCUCUGAUGAACCAAGGGAGUGAAAGCGACGUUAAGGGGGUGGGGGUGGGGGGUUUCGAACAGUUAAGUAUUAAGGGGAAGGGGCUUCUCGAAUAUAGAUGGUUGAGAUCAAAACUCAAACGAAUGACGUUAUUUUGAAAUACAAAGGUAGACCGGGUUCGGAAAUGAAGCUGCGCCGGACUCGGUGGAUUCUAAUUCGUUUGGGCUGCCUUUUAGCCCAAAAUUGGGCAAUAUUAUG